CUCCAUUCGGAUUGAAGCUGUCAGAGGAAGCGUCGCUGUCUGAGCAUUCUCUCUCUAUCCCCUUCUUCAGUCCUUUUCCAGGACCAUGGAUGAGCCUCACACAUCAGAGACCUGGAUGUUGCUGCUAAACUCGAAAACAAACCGAAUUCACGACAAAAAACCGCUGAUGACGGAACAAAUAUUAUCCUACGGUGGUUCAGCACCAGCACUCACUGUGUUCUUCUGUUUCAGUGAGUGAAGAGGCAAGAGGCUGCACCAGUCAGGGAAAGCCGGGAGUGAUAGAGGGGCAGAGAAGGAGCACAGCCACGGAAUAAUGGGGCAAGGCCCGACGCUGCUGAGAGGGAGCACACCUGAGUGCUGUUAGCACUUAGGGAGGAGGAGGGUAUUUAGGGAGGCAGGAGAGAGCAGCAGUCAGAGCAGAGAUUGGAGAACCUCCCAGCCACACAUCCUCCUGGACAAACACGUGAGGGGUUUGGUUGCAUUUAUAACUUUUCCUUUUGUGAUUAACAUUGUGUUUUUUUUUCGUUUCAGGUACUUUGGCUAUUCCCUCCCCACGCAUGUUUAAAUUGCUGGGUUUUGU
ensembl:lncRNA